rnacentral:snRNA from 1 species
GUAGGGGCUGCGCGAACGCAAACCCCCUCGACCACACAAAUAAUGACGCAGGUUCUUCCACUUGGGAAGACCUUAAGCAUAGCACCCUUCCUUUACGUGCAAUGGAAGUCACUAGCCUAGGCCACUCUUCUUCUUUAACGAGAGUCGACCCCGUCCAGGUAAGUAU